GUUCUCCGCCGCCAACCAGCCCUUAGCACACCCGAUCCACCCCUUCGCCCCCGUCGCAGCCGAUCCAUACCUGUGCCACGGCCGAUCCAUCCCCGUGCCGCGGCCGAUCCUAACCUUCGCCGUCGCCCUCGCACAUCAAAGCCGCCGCCCGUCCAUCGUACGAUCUGCUUCAGGAUCGCUGCAGGAGACGGCGCCGGGAUCCCGUUUAGCAGACGCCGGCGAUCUUGUAUAUCACCAUGCGAUCGACUUCCUCCCUCAGCUCCUUUUCUCUACACUCUGUCAGGCUGCAACAGCCUAGGUUUCUAUUUUCUAUCUGGGCUCCACUGGCAGUAGUAGGAUGCUCAUUGGCAACCCAAGGUGUGUAUGCCCCUACUUCCCCAAGAUGUGUGCUGCUGUGAAGCAUGUAGCACCACUUCUCCUGACUGCUAUAAUCAGUGGAAGAUCUCAUGACAUGAUAGGCGUCAUGGUCUCAUGGAAUGGACAUCAUGGGGCUUAUUAGGAACUCUGAGUUCAGCGGGCACCAUGCCGAAAGG